AUGACUAAAACGCCGAAGGAGGAAACCAUAUCUGCCAUCCACGAUGCACGAGCCCAGCACAUGCUCCGUCUUCCAGAUGUCGUCGAUGCAGACCACAAUCUGCAUCCGCUCCUGGACUACCUCCCAAGCUCCGCGUCGACGCUGGAGCAAACGCCAUUGCAACGGCGGAGCCCGAGGACACAGAUCUCACUGAGAUGGAUCUUCGAGCAAGGAGCGAGCAUGGUAGCCAAGAGUAAGAAAAAGGAGAGGCUUCAGGAGAACCUAGGAAUCUUUGACUGGGAACUGACGGACGAAGACCGGUUCAAGAUUACUCGGAUACGGCAGUACAAGAAGGUCACGGUGCUGGCGAUCCUCUGCCCUGAAGGUGUCCCUGGCGUCGAUAUGUCGGAGGUUGAUGUGGUUGAAACAUUUGGUGGUGAGAUGCUUCUGGUGGUGCUACCUGUGCCCUACCUGGAUGAGGUCCUGCUUGGCAUCAUCAAUUGUGAUGAUCCUGACGGGUUCCCCUACAGUGCUGGUGGGUAG
rnacentral:rRNA from 1 species